GACGAACGCUGGCGGCGUGCUUAACACAUGCAAGUCGAACGGAAAGGCCCUGCUUUUGUGGGGUGCUCGAGUGGCGAACGGGUGAGUAACACGUGAGUAACCUGCCCUUGACUUUGGGAUAACUUCAGGAAACUGGGGCUAAUACCGGAUAGGAGCUCCUGCUGCAUGGUGGGGGUUGGAAAGUUUCGGUGGUUGGGGAUGGACUCGCGGCUUAUCAGCUUGUUGGUGGGGUAGUGGCUUACCAAGGCUUUGACGGGUAGCCGGCCUGAGAGGGUGACCGGCCACAUUGAGACUGGGAUACGGCCCAGACUCCUACGGGAGGCAGCAGUGGGGAAUAUUGCACAAUGGGCGGAGGCCUGAUGCAGCAACGCCGCGUGCGGGAUGACGGCCUUCGGGUUGUAGACCGCUUUCGCCUGUGACGAAGCGUGAGUGACGGUAAUGUGUAAAGAAGCACCGGCUAACUACGUG
rnacentral:rRNA from 1 species